rnacentral:rRNA from 1 species
AUACGGAGGAUCCGAGCGUUAUCCGGAUUUAUUGGGUUUAAAGGGUGCGCAGGCGGGAGAUUAAGUCGGCGGUGAAAUUUUGCAGCUCAACUGUAAAAGUGCCUUCGAAACUGGUUUCCUUGAGUGUAGAUGAAGUAGGCGGAAUUUGUGGUGUAGCGGUGAAAUGCAUAGAUAUCACGAUGAACUCCGAUUGCGCAGGCAGCUUACUAAACUACUACUGACGCUUAGGCACGAAGGCGUGGGGAUCAAACAGGAUUAGAUACCCUGGUAGUCCACGCAGUAAACGAUGAUUACUAGCUGUUUGCGAUACAAUGUAAGCGGCUGAGCGAAAGCGAUAAGUAAUCCACCUGGGGAGUACGCCGGCAACGGUGAAACUCAAAUGAAUUGGCGGGG